AAACUAUGGUGAGGGUAUCUCCUCAAAAGUUCUUCAAAUUGCUCUAAUGUUUCAAAUAGGAAUUCUAAUUUAUGUUGCUAGAAGCUUGACAUUUCUGCCAUAAGCUU